UCCAUCUCCAUAGCCAGCUAACUGCAUUUUCUUCUCUUUUCUCAUCAUUAUCAAAAUUAAUAAAUUGGAGGGUAGAUGAUAAAGGGAUUGAGAAAAUAAAGAUUUAUAAGAAGAGCAAAAGGGCAAUGCUUUGUGUAAUUGCCCUAUCGCUUGAGCUAAUCUCAGUAAUAAAAUAAUUAAUAAUUUUAGUGAUUAAAUUAAAAAAUGGAUUCUAUGGGAGACGCUCCCAUUCUGAAGACAUG
rnacentral:lncRNA from 1 species